AAUCAACGCUGGCGGCGUGCCUAACACAUGCAAGUCGAACGCGAGAGGGGCUUCGGCCCCGAUUGAGUGGCGAACGGGUGAGUAACGCGUGGGUGACCUACCUUCGAGUGGGGGAUAACGUCCCGAAAGGGACGCUAAUACCGCAUAACAUCCUGCUUUUGAAUGGGUGGAGAUCAAAGCCGGGGAUCGCAAGACCUGGCGCUUGAUGAGGGGCCCGCGUCUGAUUAGCUAGUUGGGA
rnacentral:rRNA from 1 species